AUGCUGAAAGUGUGUGGGUAUUUGUGUGUGCAUCACAUGUGUGCACUAGAUGCCAAUAUGAAAUACAUUAUUAUUAUUAUUUUGAGACAGGGUCUCUCUUUGUUACCCAGGCUGGAGUGCAGUGGUGUGAACAUGGUUUACUGCAGCCUCAAACUCCUGGGAUCAAGUGAUUCUCCUGCCUCAGCCUCCCAUAUUACAUAUGUGAGCCAUCGUACUCAACCUGAAAUAUAUUCUUACCAUCGGUCACGAACAUGCGUAGUUAACCCAGACCCUGAUACCAUCCUGGACCAGACAGAAGCAGCGUCCUUCUCCUGGAGGAGCUUGGAGCCACAGCAAGAGCCAGGCAUUACACCCCGGUGCUACACAGGUGGUCUCAGCUCCCAGCGAUGACCCAGGAGAAGCCCACGGGAGCCCUCAGCUGCAACCAAUCCUCCAGGCUGCUGGCCUGCCUGCCUUCCUGAAAUAGUCCAGAUUUCACUUAUUAAACAUAUUAAUCUGAAGUUAACAAUUUGUGCUUGUUUCACUAAAUGGCUUGAAGAGAAGAAUGCAGGGGAAAAGAAUUUGAUUUGAUGGGAAGGCUUAACCCGGAUGGACUAAGCGGCCUUCAUAUUCUGACUUUAAAACAACUGGAAAUCGAGGGACUAUUCACAGAAGUGGAGAGUCAGAGGGUAAACCUAACUGGAGUUAAGGAAGCACAAACAAAACCCAUCCCCUUCUCGGCCCCAACCUGCCAUGUGACUCUAAGGACAUUGCUUACUGCAGUGACAGCAUUUUAAACAGCUGCCCAGAGGGGUUUUAAAUAGACUUGAUGUAAUUCAAGGAUUUAUAGAGCAUAGGUUACCAAAAUAUUAAAGUUCUGAAAUAUCCCUAAACCAAGACCACGGCCCUAGCAUUACCCACUCUGAACCGAAUCAUUCUCUGCCGUUGGAGUGUGGUGCAUGUGGCUUCUUCAGAAAACUGUGGCUGCUCUAAAUGAGUGGCCAGAAAAAGAUAUACAGCCUCUGAUGAAUAGAUGCGACCUUCCAUGUAAAAACACACUCUCCCGGUCUUCGGCAACUCAGUCCAUGGAAAGCACUAAUCUUCAGAAAAUAAACCAGACAGUUAUUUUUUAAUUGCUUAUCAAAUCUAAGUAUUCAAGGAAAUUACAGUGGGGUGGGGUAGAGGUGGGAAUACACAAAAUCAUGAAUCUGGGUAACGAAGUGCCCCUGGACCUCUACUCUGUAAAAUAAAC
rnacentral:lncRNA from 1 species